rnacentral:rRNA from 1 species
GAUGAACGCUGGCGGCGUGCCUAAUACAUGCAAGUCGAGCGAAUGGAUUAAGAGCUUGCUCUUAUGAAGUUAGCGGCGGACGGGUGAGUAACACGUGGGUAACCUGCCCAUAAGACUGGGAUAACUCCGGGAAACCGGGGCUAAUACCGGAUAACAUUUUGAACCGCAUGGUUCGAAAUUGAAAGGCGGCUUCGGCUGUCACUUAUGGAUGGACCCGCGUCGCAUUAGCUAGUUGGUGAGGUAACGGCUCACCAAGGCAACGAUGCAUAGCCGACCUGAGAGGGUGAGAGGCCACACUGGAACUAAGACACGGCCCAGACUCCUACGGGAGGCAGCAGUAGGGAAUCUUCCGCAAUGGACGAAAGUCUGACGGAGCAACGCCGCGUGAGUGAUGAAGGCUUUCGGGUCGUAAAACUCUGUUGUUAGGGAAGAACAAGUGCUAGUUGAAUAAGCUGGCACCUUGACGGUACCUAACCAGAAAGCCACGGCUAACUACGUGCCAGCAGCCGCUGUAA